AAGCUAAACGUAGAUGGAGCACGGUGGGUGGUCACUUAAUAUUUUGACGAGCACAACCACUAACUCAUAAAGAAGUUUGACCUGGUAAAAUUUCUGAGCGCCCACAGAGGAUUCACUCCCCUCGAGAAGAAAUUCAUAAAGCCGCUACAUGAUUGUAACGUCGGUCCAUCAAGAAUGGUCCAAAUACUGUCCCUCAUCCACAGCGGAGAUGGUAGGCUGAGUAGCAUGCCCUACAUACCGGCAUACGUCACAAACCUAAAGGCAAAGUACCAUAGAGAGAGAAGGUUGGCUAACGUAGAAGACACGAUAGCCUACUUCGAUGAGAAAGCAAAAGCAGAUCCAGAUUUCUUCUACAGGAUAAGAUUGGACGAUGAUGACCGUGUCAGGAACAUGUAUUGGAUGGAUGGUGUUGCAAGAAGAGCCUACAAACAUUUCUGAGAUUGCAUUUUGUUCGACGUGACAUAUCUCACUAAUAUGUACAAGAUGCCAUGCGCUCCAUUCAUAGGAAUAAAUAAGCACAACACGGAUGGGUACACUUGGCUGUUCAAAACCUUCUUGGAGUGCAUGGGUGGACUUGCUCCGCUGAACAUAAUAACAAACCAGGAUUUUAGCAUGUGUGCAGGCACAGAGGAGGUCUUUCCGUUGGCAGUGCAUAGGCACUGCAGGUGGCACAUUAUAAAGAAGGCUGAGGAGACACUAGGACCGUUCUUUGCUACUACACAGCGCAGCGAGGGGUUCAAUGUUGUUCUGAAGCGGUACGACGGGAUUGUGUGUUGUCACAUACUAAAAGUAAUGGACAUGAACGCGGUGACAUGAAUGCCCCACCAUUUCAUACGGCGGCGAUGGACUUGGGACGCUGAUGACGUAUUGGGGCCACAAACAUCAAAUGCAGUUUUGGCUGUGCAUGAUGAGAGACCAAAGUCAACCAUGGAAGCCGUGAGGCACGUUGUGUUGACAAAAAACUAUGCUGAACUAAUAGAUGAAGCGUGCAAGAGUGAUGAGAUGUAA
rnacentral:rRNA from 1 species